rnacentral:rRNA from 1 species
CCGAUGAAGUGGAAACGGACAGAGCUGGCGUAUCUGGCCUGUAUUCAGCCGCUCGUUGUCGGCCCACCGUUGCUGCACUCCAGAUUGGGAAGGCGGCGUGGGCGCUGGCUGCGUGUGGUGCAUUUGCAGGUGGAGUGCGCCGAGGCGCUCGGCUCAGCGGCAUGAGCUCAGCUUUGAGGCCAACCGUGCAAACGGUCUGGUACCCGGGCUGGGGGAGUGCUGUUUGGGCUGGGUGUUCGCUUGUGGCUGUGGUUUCGGGCCCGGGUGGGUGCCGAGCUGGCGGUCGGUGGCGGUCGCUUGCGACACGUGCCAGCAGUCAGUUCGGUCCUGCUCGAGCUCUCAUUGUGGCCCGGCCUCGGUGUAAAAGCCGGUCAUCUGUCCGACCCGUCUUGAAACACGGACCAAGGAGUUUAGCGUGUGCGCGAGUCAUUGGGCGUUGAAAACCCAAAGGCGCAAUGAAAGUGAAGGUCUGCCUUGUGCAGCUGAUGUGUGAUCCCGGGCGCUGCGGCGCACGGGCGCAACAUAGUCCCGUCCCGACUGCAUGCAGUGGGGCGGAGACAGAGCGUACGCGCUGAG